rnacentral:antisense_RNA from 1 species
AGGAGGUAGUGGUGGUUUAGUGGAUUUUAGUGGACUAAUGAUUGGUUGAGAUUGAAGGCCCAUCUUGCUCAUUAAUACUUUAGCAAGAGCAGCUGAAGAAGAGCCAUCUCCAGUUUUUCUUGUGGGUCCAUAUUUAUUUUUAUUCAUAUCCCUUUCCCUUUCUCUCUCCUUUUCUCUUUCUCUCUCCCUUUCUCUCUCCUUCUCUCUUUCCCUUUCUCUUUCUCUCUCCUUCUCUCUUUCCCUUUCUCUUUCUCUCUCCUUCUCUCUUUCUCUUUCUCUUUCCCUUUCCCUUUCUCUUUCUCUUUCUCUUUCUCUUUCUCUUUCUCUUUCGUUAUCAUCAUCAUCAUCAUCAUCUGGAUUAUUAUCUUGAUCUUUUUCUUUUUGUUUCAAGAAGCUUAAAAGCUUGUCAGAAAGUCCAGUUUUAUCAA